AGGCAAACACUUCGUUGGCAAAGCAAGAAUUCUCCAUUCUCCAUCCGUGUCUCACUUCCUGAGCUUAGUUUGUCUGGAGCUGUAUAAAAAGUCCAUCCCUGGCCCAGAGUUCUUCAUUCAUUUGACUUCGCUGCUUUUUGCUACCUCUUCAAUUUGUGAACAGGUUUUUUUACCUCCACACUAAGAUGGGCUCUGAGUGCUGUACAUGCUGCGGAGGCAACCAAUCAAACCAGCAGUUCAUUUGUGUGCCCACGCAGAGCUACUAUUCCUCUGGAUCCUCUUGCUGUGGCUCUGGCUGUGGCUCUAGCUGUGGGUCCUGCUGUGGGUCCUGCUGCGGUUGCUGUGGAUCAUCUGGACAGUCCUGCAAGGUCAUCUACGUCCGGCCCAUGCAGUAUUGUUGCUGUAUGCCAGUCCAAUAUAGCCAGAACUGUUGCAUGCCUAAGAACCAGUGUUGUUAGACAGACCCAGAAAUGGCCAAGCCCAGGGGCUGAAGGUCUCUCAGUCAGUUCAUGCCUGGUUCUCACCCUGAUGGGUUUGCUAUUAAAUGCUCACUUGCUCCUCUGUCUUUCUGCACAGCUCUGUGACUUGCCUUCACCCUGCCACCCAGAGAUUAUGCUCUGUGUAGCAACAGAAAAAGAAAAGAAAGCUUCUUCCUCGCCACAUGGUGUUGGGAUGUCCUUCCCACAUACUUCCCUUUGCAGCUGAUCUCCUUCUGCGGAUGUAAGAUCAGAUCUCGUUCUUUAACUGAUUUCUCUAUCACACCAAGCCUUUGCCCAGUGUUCGUUUUGGGGACAAUAAACCUUGAAAAGCAUGAA